rnacentral:rRNA from 1 species
CCUACGGGGGGCUGCAGUGGGGAAUAUUGGACAAUGGGCGAAAGCCUGAUCCAGCCAUGCCGCGUGUGUGAAGAAGGCCUUCGGGUUGUAAAGCACUUUCAGUGGGGAAGAAAGCCUUGGGGCUAAUACCCUCGAGGAAGGACAUCACCCACAGAAGAAGCACCGGCUAACUCCGUGCCAGCAGCCGCGGUAAUACGGAGGGUGCGAGCGUUAAUCGGAAUUACUGGGCGUAAAGCGCGCGUAGGCGGUCUGAUAAGCCGGUUGUGAAAGCCCCGGGCUCAACCUGGGAACGGCAUCCGGAACUGUCAGGCUAGAGUGCAGGAGAGGAAGGUAGAAUUCCCGGUGUAGCGGUGAAAUGUGUAGAGAUCGGGAGGAAUACCAGUGGCGAAGGCGGCCUUCUGGACUGACACUGACGCUGAGGUGCGAAAGCGUGGGUAGCAAACAGGAUUAGAUACCCCGGUAGUC